rnacentral:rRNA from 1 species
UACGAAGGGGGCUAGCGUUGCUCGGAAUCACUGGGCGUAAAGCGCACGUAGGCGGUUUGUUAAGUCGGAUGUGAAAUCCCUCGGCUCAACUGAGGAAGUGCACCCGAAACUGGCAGGCUUGAGUACUAAAGAGGGUCGCGGAAUUCCCGGUGUAGAGGUGAAAUUCGUAGAUAUCGGGAGGAACACCGGUGGCGAAGGCGGCGACCUGGGUAGAUACUGACGCUGAGGUGCGAAAGCGUGGGGAGCAAACAGG